rnacentral:rRNA from 1 species
GACGAACGCUGGCGGCGUGCUUAACACAUGCAAGUCGAACGGAAAGGCCCUGCUUUUGUGGGGUGCUCGAGUGGCGAACGGGUGAGUAACACGUGAGUAACCUGCCCUUGACUUUGGGAUAACUUCAGGAAACUGGGGCUAAUACCGGAUAGGAGCUCCUGCUGCAUGGUGGGGGUUGGAAAGUUUCGGCGGUUGGGGAUGGACUCGCGGCUUAUCAGCUUGUUGGUGGGGUAGUGGCUUACCAAGGCUUUGACGGGUAGCCGGCCUGAGAGGGUGACCGGCCACAUUGGGACUGAGAUACGGCCCAGACUCCUACGGGAGGCAGCAGUGGGGAAUAUUGCACAAUGGGCGGAAGCCUGAUGCAGCAACGCCGCGUGCGGGAUGACGGCCUUCGGGUUGUAAACCGCUUUCGCCUGUGACGAAGCGUGAGUGACGGUAAUGGGUAAAGAAGCACCGGCUAACUACGUGCCAGCAGCCGCGGUGAUACGUAGGGUGCGAGCGUUGUCCGGAUUUAUUGGGCGUAAAGGGCUCGUAGGUGGUUGAUCGCGUCGGAAGUGUAAUCUUGGGGCUUAACCCCUGAGCGUGCUUUCGAUACGGGUUGACUUGAGGAAGGUAGGGGAGAAUGGAAUUCCUGGUGGAGCGGUGGAAUGCGCAGAUAUCAGGAGGAACACCAGUGGCGAAGGCGGUUCUCUGGGCCUUUCCUGACGCUGAGGAGCGAAAGCGUGGGGAGCGAACAGGCUUAGAUACCCUGGUAGUCCACGCUGUAAACGGUGGGUACUAGGUGUGGGGUCCAUUCCACGGGUUCCGUGCCGUAGCUAACGCUUUAAGUACCCCGCCUGGGGAGUACGGCCGCAAGGCUAAAACUCAAAGGAAUUGACGGGGCCCCGCACAAGCGGCGGAGCAUGCGGAUUAAUUCGAUGCAACGCGUAGAACCUUACCUGGGUUUGACAUGGAUCGGGAGCGCUCAGAGAUGGGUGUGCCUCUUUUGGGGUCGGUUCACAGGUGGUGCAUGGCUGUCGUCAGCUCGUGUCGUGAGAUGUUGGGUUAAGUCCCGCAACGAGCGCAACCCUUGUUCACUGUUGCCAGCACGUUAUGGUGGGGACUCAGUGGAGACCGCCGGGGUCAACUCGGAGGAAGGUGGGGAUGACGUCAAGUCAUCAUGCCCCUUAUGUCCAGGGCUUCACGCAUGCUACAAUGGCUGGUACAGAGAGUGGCGAGCCUGUGAGGGUGAGCGAAUCUCGGAAAGCCGGUCUCAGUUCGGAUUGGGGUCUGCAACUCGACCUCAUGAAGUCGGAGUCGCUAGUAAUCGCAGAUCAGCAACGCUGCGGUGAAUACGUUCCCGGGGCU